UGCUUGGCUGCUGGUGCACAGCUCCACCGAGACCUCUUCCGAGGGCUCUCCGAGAACUGGGCUGCUUCUGGGGUCUGCAGGGCUCCCCGGGCUGGAGGAGAGAAGGGCUGAGUGGCUGACGACGUCUAAUUUUUGCUUUUCGAGGAACCAGGACUGAAAUGGGACAAAAAGAGGCCAUAUUGAGAACAGCAGGGGCAAGUCUCUUCUCCAUCCCACCUGGCCCACUGACUGCAGGCCUGAGCCCAAGGCCCCUGGAGGGCCCACCUCCAGCAGAGUCAAGGACACCAACACCCCACGAAGAGAUGGGAAGAUGGCAUGAAGAGGAUGGAGAGGGGAAAAGAACUCAAACCAUGAGAAAGAAGGCAACAGAGCGCGAGACGCGAGACGGAGAAAAGUGAGAUGGGCCGCCCCUCCCACUGCUGACCAGGAAGUCCUGGCCUGUGGCCUGCCAGCCCCCAGAGCGCCCGAAGCGCUGCCCACCCCCUGCCCGCAGACGGCACACCGCCCACCCUCCACCUCUCCUGUCCUUCACACGUCGGGUCUACCUUGGGCCUCUCAACUCAGAUUUUUCUUUUCCCUUUAACAAAAUUUGUCAUUGGUUAAAAGAGAGAGAGAGAGAAGGAGAAAGAGAUGAAGUAAGCCGAGGCCCAGAGCCCUCCCUUGUCCUUGGAACAUUCAACCUGGGGAAGGGAGAGGGAUGGGAGGAGGGGGAAAAAAAAAGAAAAAAAAAAAAAGAGGAACAACGAGAAACCAAAUGUGAGAUUGGAGGGGAGGAGGUCAGGGGCCGGCCGCUGUACAGUUAGAGGCCCAAGGGCCCUGGAAUGGAGGUGAGGGGGCAAGGCCAAAAGGGGAUGGUGGUGGCGUCGCCUUGUGGUCACAUUUAAUUUUUUUGGUGUAGCGGGGCACAACGAAACAACAAAAAUCAAAAAACAAAAAAACAAAAAAUGAAAAAAACAGCAA